GCUGGGUUUGGUGGCACAUGCCUGUAAUCCCAGCAAUGCAGGAGGCUGAGGCAGGAGUAUUGCAAGUUUUAGACCAGCCUGAGUAAGUUAGCAAGACCCUGUCUCAA
rnacentral:sRNA from 1 species